rnacentral:tRNA from 1 species
UGCAUCGGCCGGGGAAUCGAACCCGGGCCGCCCGAGUGGCAGGCGAGCAUUCUACCACUGAACCAUCGAUGC